CAAUUAAUUUAUUUCAGAAUCUGCCAGAGUCCCAGUUGUGUUUCUGGGGCAGAAAGGCCUGGUGUUGUUGAGUAUGUAGAACGCUGUCCAAGAGAGGUAUUCAUGCAGGAUGCUGUGUGUCUUGUCCUGGAAGUGAAUUGUCUGGAAGAAAGCAUCAUACAACAGCCAACCAGAGGAAAAGCAAGAGAAAUCAAAUCAUCAGGUUCCUCUUUAUGCCAACAAGGAAAGACUGCUGAAGAGGAAGUAAUGAGGAAACUGUGUUCUCAGCAAGAGAGAGGGCCCAGAUGCUCUCUCCGCCCUUCCUGCCUGCCCUGUGCCCAGAAGGCUGACCACGGCUGCAUCCCUGGGGAUCCCCUAACCUCUGUCUUCUGGCUGGGUUUGGCCAAUGGCAACUGGGAAGCCAUGAGAACAAUUAGAUGAAGAAAAACAGCUUCUCCAGAAAUACCAUACCACCUCCUUCAGUUCUCCAACAGAAUAGCCAGGUGCUGGCAUGGCAAUGGACCAAAGCAGAAAAGAAAAGAAAAGAACAACUCAUCAGAAACCAGGCUUUUGUCAAAAAAAAAAAAAAAAACAAUGCUCAAACCCAACUGCAGCAAGCAAUUAUGGAACAAUAGCUAAAUACUUUCUAUAAUUAGAGAGAGAGAAACCAUCGCAAGUGAUCAGCACGCCUUUGUCUGCACUGACCCUCUGCGCCCAAAGAAGAUCUUGGCUCACGUGAGAUGGAGUCUGGGGAUGCUGGCAUCUCUUUUAGUUGUUUUGAGAAAUUAAAUCUCACACCAGCCUUCUCUUGCCAAGAAAGGAGGGCAGUGGAGGCGGUGAGGACCUUCUCAUCAGAAAAGAAAGGCAAUAGGAAGUGUGACUCACGCCAAGGGUGAAUUCGAUCCUGAGAGAGGACAGGGUCUUGCAGUCUGCCCAAGAGCUACUCACAUGCUGGGGGACAGAGGUGGACACGUGUAAAGUCAUGCUGGGGAUCGGGGUAAGGCCCUCUGUUCCUGUUAUGAUGGAGCAUAAUGAAGUUCAGAAUUCAGCAUCGAAUUCCGGUGUGGACACUCCCAUUUACUAGGUUUAUUUGUUGUUUGCUUUUGGUGGAACUUAAUUAGCUGAUUCCAAAGGUAAAGGACCAAGACAAAACACUAUUGAAUAAGGAGAACAAGGUGAGAGGACUUGCUGUAACAGGAACAGAAUAAAGAGCCCCCAAACAUAUCUAUACAUGACACUUGCUACAUAACACUUGCUACAUGACAGAGGUGGCCUGCAGGUUAGUGAGGGAGGAACAGACUUUUUAAUAAAUGGUGCUGAUAAAAUUGAGCAUCCAUGUAGAAAAAAUUGAAAUUGCGCUCACUCCUAUCUCACAUUAUGAACAAUAUUCAAUUCCAGGUGGAAUUGACCUAAGUGUAAAAGGAAAAACUAUAAAGCUUUUACGAGAUAAGACCUCAGGACAGGGAAGAAUUUCUUAGACAAGACACAAAGAGCACUAGCCAUAAUAGAAAAGAUUCAUAAAUUUGCUUACUUCAGAAUUAAAUUUUUCUGUUCAUCAAAAGAUACCAUUGUUAGAGCAAAAAUUCAAGCAGAGGGGUGGAAGAUAUUCAUAAUAAAGAAAGGACUAUGUAGUAGCCAAACCACAUGAAGAUUUCAGACAAAGUGUAGCCAGCUCUAUGAACAAAUGUCGAGGACCCCUAUGUUUUCUAUAAUCCUCUCCCUCUCAUGUUUUAGGACUUUUAACUAACUUACGUGACAUUUUGAGUUUGUUUCCCAGAAAAGGCAGAAUUUCUGCAAAACAAAGGAGUUGAGAUUCUAAAGGCCCCUACCACAAACUUCCUAACUCAUCAUCCCUCACUAACUUGUUCCCAAUGCACACAGCCCCUCAUUAAUUUCAACGCAACCUACCCCAAUGCCUGUAGCUCCCCCCGACCCCCACCCCGGCUGUGCUACUGGUCCGUGGCCUAUUAGGAACCUGGCUGCACAGCAGGAGGUGAUCAGC